rnacentral:rRNA from 1 species
UACGAAGGGGGCUAGCGUUGUUCGGAAUUACUGGGCGUAAAGCGCGCGCAGGCGGUCUUCCAAGUCAGUGGUGAAAGCCCGGAGCUCAACUCCGGAACUGCCAUUGAAACUGUGAGACUUGAGGAUGAGAGGGGUGAGUGGAAUUCCCAGUGUAGAGGUGAAAUUCGUAGAUAUUGGGAAGAACACCGGUGGCGAAGGCGGCUCACUGGCUCAUUUCUGACGCUCAGGCGCGACAGCGUGGGGAUCAAACAGG